CUCUAUCUCUCUGUCUCUCUCUCUCUCUCUCUCUCUCUCUCUCUCUCUCUCUCUCUCUCUAUAUAUAUAUAUAUAUAUAUAUAAAAUGAAUGUUAUACCUCUGGAAAGGCCUUGGUCUGAGAUGAGGGUUUAGACACCAGACCUUUCCUCUGGGUUUAGAAAGUGCUGAAACAGUAUCAAGUCUACGCCGUUAGUCGGCUACUUUAAAUGUGCAUCUUUAUUGGUUUGUUUUACAAAAGUGGUCCCCACUAAUAUAUUAGGUUAUAAUAAUUCUGUCAACUGUCUUUUCUCUCUGGACCUUAUUGAGGGUUAGGGCUAGUGAUCUCAAAGUCCAUAGGAGAACACCCCACACACGCACACACACGCACACACACGCACACAGAAAAUAAACAACAUCAUUAUGAAAGGCUGGUGGGGACAACCUAUCUCAAGUUUAAACAAAAACUUGUCCACACAUAUUUCCACAUACCUGUAUGCAACUAGCCUUAGGCAGACAUGUCUCUCCACACACUCACACAGCCGUUGACAUGAUGCAGAUGAACAACACACAGUAGAAACUGGACAGAGGCCAAGAGUACUAACACAGAGCACACGAGUCUUUCUAAGGGAACAGGAAUGUCCCCUUACUUCACCAGAGGCUGAUAAACAUGGUAAAUCCACCUGAAAGCCAACAGCUCCCAGGGCAGGGAGACUUUCUAUGUCAACACUACAUACAUACCUCUUCCACUGACAUCAUGGUACUGCCAUGUCACCUGUCCUUCACCUCUCCCUCACAACAACACAAACAUACCAAGAAUGGCUCUCCAAUGACAAGCACAGUACACCUCUCCCUAGCCAGGCGCAUGUCUCUGUCUUUCGAUAUCACUCAUUAUUUAUUUUUCUUUAUCUCUAUCUUACCGGUAGGCGUGCAUAUGCUGCGAGCUUGACACAUCAACACACAGGUAAUACGCUCACUCACUCUCCAUUCUUAUCCACCCAUUCUGCACUAAACCUUCCUGAGUUAAAGAAAUCUGUCUAGUGUGAGGCAAAUGAAAUUGAAGACAUUUUAGGGGCACAGUAAAGGUGUACAGUACAUGGCUAACAAACAUCAGACAGGGACAAUGCUACAUACACUUGGCACAACAAUGGGAGAGAAAAAGUAUAAACAAAGACAACUAUUGCACAUACAGUAUGAUUCCAAGGGCAACGGGAAUCAUUAUCCUGAUAGAUAAGAACGGGG
ensembl:lncRNA